UGAACAUUCGUCCCCCGCUGCUGGUUGAAUGUAACAGUAGUCUAGUCCAGGGGUACUCAACUACUAUCUGAGAGGUCCAGUCCUCCUCUGCUGGUUGGAAUGUAACAGUAGUCUAGUCCAGGGGUACUCAACUACUAUCUGAGAGGUCCAGUCCUCCUCUGCUGGUUGGAAUGUAACAGUAGUCUAGUCCAGGGGUACUCAACUACUAUCUGAGAGGUCCAGUCCUCCUCUGCUGGUUGGAAUGUAACAGUAGUCUAGUCCAGGGGUACUCAACUACUAUCUGAGAGGUCCAGUCCUCCUCUGCUGGUUGGAAUGUAACAGUAGUCUAGUCCAGGGGUACUCAACUACUAUCUGAGAGGUCCAGUCCUCCUCUGCUGGUUGGAAUGUAACAGUAGUCUAGUCCAGGGGUACUCAACUACUAUCUGAGAGGUCCAGUCCUCCUCUGCUGGUUGGAAUGUAACAGUAGUCUAGUCCAGGGGUACUCAACUACUAUCUGAGAGGUCCAGUCCUCCGCUGCUGGUUGGAAUGUAACAGUAGUCUAGUCCAGGGGUACUCAACUACUAUCUGAGAGGUCCAGUCCUCCGCUGCUGGUUGGAAUGUAACAGUAGUCUAGUCCAGGGGUACUCAACUACUAUCUGAGAGGUCCAGUCCUCCUCUGCUGGUUGGAAUGUAACAGUAGUCUAGUCCAGGGGUACUCAACUACUAUCUGAGAGGUCCAGUCCUCCGCUGCUGGUUGGAAUGUAACAGUAGUCUAGUCCAGGGGUACUCAACUACUAUCUGAGAGGUCCAGUCCUCCUCUGCUGGUUGGAAUGUAACAGUAGUCUAGUCCAGGGGUACUCAACUACUAUCUGAGAGGUCCAGUCCUCCUCUGCUGGUUGGAAUGUAACAGUAGUCUAGUCCAGGGGUACUCAACUACUAUCUGAGAGGUCCAGUCCUCCUCUGCUGGUUGGAAUGUAACAGUAGUCUAGUCCAGGGGUACUCAACUACUAUCUGAGAGGUCCAGUCCUCCUCUGCUGGUUGGAAUGUAACAGUAGUCUAGUCCAGGGGUACUCAACUACUAUCUGAGAGGUCCAGUCCUCCUCUGCUGGUUGGAAUGUAACAGUAGUCUAGUCCAGGGGUACUCAACUACUAUCUGAGAGGUCCAGUCCUCCUCUGCUGGUUGGAAUGUAACAGUAGUCUAGUCCAGGGGUACUCAACUACUAUCUGAGAGGUCCAGUCCUCCUCUGCUGGUUGGAAUGUAACAGUAGUCUAGUCCAGGGGUACUCAACUACUAUCUGAGAGGUCCAGUCCUCCUCUGCUGGUUCGAAUGUAACAGUAGUCUAGUCCAGGGGUACUCAACUACUAUCUGAGAGGUCCAGUCCUCCGCUGCUGGUUGGAAUGUAACAGUAGUCUAGUCCAGGGGUACUCAACUACUAUCUGAGAGGUCCAGUCCUCCUCUGCUGGUUGGAAUGUAACAGUAGUCUAGUCCAGGGGUACUCAACUACUAUCUGAGAGGUCCAGUGACACAAAUUCCUAGGUGGCAAAGGUCCGGAUGAAUUUCGUCCUUCAUUGGCGCUGUGGUACAGAGUAUUUAACAAACAGUCUACGACUUAGGAAACAUGUUAUAUAAAAUGUACAUUCAAAUAUAUUAAAUGAGACUAAGAAUUUGAACUAUUUACUACUUCUUUUGAAUGUAAACAUGUGCAACAUUGCAUCAACAUUGCUGAAGAACAAAAGUGGUUGCAUGAUUGUCUAUGCAAAAAGUGCACUGUGAACAACUACACAUGGGUCAUGAAUUAUUAUUAUUUUUUUAUAUAAAAUAACAUUUUCUUGAGAACAAAGGACAGGUGUACAGAAAGAAUAAUCUGAAUGCCCAGAACAUCACUGUGGGCUGUGCAACAUCCAUGUAUCAGUCAGUGUGGGCCGUGCAACAUCCAUGUAUCAGUCACUGAGGGCCGUGCAAUAUCCAUGUAUCAGUCACUGUGGGUCGUGCAAUAUUCAUGUAUCAGUCACUGUGGGCCGUGCAACAUCCAUGUAUCAGUCACUGUGGGCCGUGCAAUAUCCAUGUAUCAGUCACUGUGGGCUGUGCAACAUCCAUGUAUCAGUCACUGUGGGCUGUGCAAUAUUCAUGUAUCAGUCACUGUG